AUUAAAUUGGUCUAUUUAUUUGAUCAUAUUAUUGCUCGUACACAAUGUAGCACUUUGAGUGAAUGCCGCACCAAAACAAAAUGACGUAGUGGGCAACAUCUCGCCAUGUUCCAUCUUUUCUUAACAUCAUAAUAAGAUGCUGUGAUGACGUACACUUAAAACAUCGUAACGAUACUUGGUCAUCGCGAGGUCAGCAAGAGGCUAUCACCUGACUAAUAAGGGGCCCUGUUAGGUGGACUCAACAAAAUGAACUCAAAAAGAUUUUAUGAUUCCUAGAACCAUGGCUCUGUAAUAAAAACACUCGCCCACAACCCCCUUCACAGUAGUAAACACACUCUCAGUGUUAAUCCACUUCCCAAAGUCGACAACGUCACCCUCGUUCAAGUUUCUAAUUCAUGAUCGGUCGAAAUUGUUAGACCUACCAAUUACCUACCAAUCCUGGCUAAUGUUGAGACCUAUAUCAUUCUUGUUCAAGAUUAUCACUGACCCAGAUUUGCGCCUGCUAUCCGAAUUUUAAAAUAACCGGCACAUUGGAUUGUCGUCAACGAAAAUGGCUUGAAAUUAAUUCUCCAAAAUAAAGUCUAGUGUUUUCUCCACACCGAGCCAAGUAUGCUUUUAGUGUCGAUCGACAGCCCAGUGGACUACGUAGGGGACCAGUUCGAGUACUUGCGAUGUUUUUUGAGCUUCUAUAUGCUGAUCUAUUUGACAAUCAUCACCGCUACAUUCCCUCUAGCCCUGGCUUACAUUGUAUUUUGAAAGGCUCUCAGCGAGCCUACGGAAUAAACGUGUCCCCUGGUGAUCUUCGAGAACUGUCAUCGGUUAUUUUAAUAAACUUCUUGUUGCAAGUUACUGUUUAUCAAUCAGUCAUUACCAUUACAGUAAUUGGACCAAAGUGAGAGACAAUCCUAUCACUUGUGUUAACGAUAGCCUGGAUUUUAAACACGAAGUUCGUAUCUCGUACUUCUUAAGAUAAAAGAUACUUGCUGUUCAUUACAUGGAUACAAUGAAACAGAAUUGUCUACACAUAUUUUGAUAAAAAAAUAAUCGACCAUAUUGUUGGUACUGUUCACUAGAAUUCGCUUCACAUGUAAUGAAGAAUCACUGGUAUGAAACAUUUUGAGGAAACCAAUAAACAAUUUAAAGUAAAAACAAAUAUCAGUAUAGUGUGUCAAAUCCUAGCACCAAGAAAACAGAAGCUUGAUCUAAGGCUCCACCUCACAUGAAACUAAAAUCUAUCUAUUUAUAAAGAACAAACGAAAUCACACAGCAAAUGCGAAGGAGAAUAGACUCUCUGCGACCAAGUUGAACUGUUGGGACUCUAUUACCUGACUAUAUUUAACCAUUCAGAAAGAUAUAAAUAAGAAUUAUGUAUUUGACAGCGUCUUGAUCAAAGAACAAUUAAUUUAGAGUUGAUCUAAAUAUAUAACAAGGCUUAUGACUAUCAACUAUUACUAUGUAACAUCGCACAGCGGGGCAACUCAAUUUGGGCACAAUUCCGUCAGAGACCAUCUCGCGUAGGGUUGUUCCUGAGAUAUUGUAUCUAGAGAUAAGGUUGUCAACAGACAAUAGUGAUGCCACACGAAGAGAUCUAUCCAACUGACUUAAUAGCAUAUGGUCUGAUCAUAUUAGCCAUAUACUUUUUAUUCUUCAAAAGGAAUUAUGGAAGAUCGUGCUGCCGAUGUUGUAACAGGUGUUACCGCGGAUACAGGCGCUGCAACUCGUGCCCUUACAGUUAAGUAUUAUUUGCAGAGUUGUAGCCCUUUGCCUGAUGUUUUUUUUCAAAAGCUCGCGGUAUAAUUGUGACUAAAGCACAAGAAAUUACCGACAGGCUAUUUUCCCCGUUUUUCCAUAGAGAGUCUAGUUCUCUUACAGAUCACUGUCCAACAAAAGACACAGUGAAACAACGUAACUUACUGGGUAUAGUGACUACCUAAACUAGUUACAACGUAAUAACGUGAUCAAACACCUGGACAGUAAUGUUUAAUCAAUUGAAUGCAUAAGCUGCUUCUAAGCUAGAAUAGUAUCAGCCAGACUGCUGCAAUUCACUCGUCCAGAUAGAAUAAACACUUAACAGUAAAACGGCCCUUAGGGGUGUAAUAAUUGGCCAGUUCCUUGCAAAUGGUUAACAUUGUAUGAUACACAAUCUGUUUAGCGUUCGAGCACAGACGAUUGGUCAGUUUUUCAAAGGUGAUAUGUAAAUCGACUCGUAUAAGUAACUAAAGAAAUAAAGAAUAUUCCAGGGACCAAAUUUCACAGUUGUCAUGCUUUGCGAAGAUAAUAUGCUUGGAUCACCUAGCCUUGUAGAUUGCGUCAUCACGUUUGUAAUCCUAGUCUCAUUCUAUGUUUUUACGAACUUUAUCAGAGAAGAUCAAUAAAACAUUUAUUAUUUAAUUGAACUCCAUAACAAACACAUACGGGUAGGCUCGAACUGCAUUUAGUCAUAAAUAGUUGGAGUUGGAAAUACCAAAAGGAAAACUCACAAACGCUUUAAAAGAGCUCAUAUGAUGACGCCAUUUACAUAUACUCUCCAACCCAAAAAAUGUUCAGUAUAGGAUUCUAAGGAGGAAUUCGUAUAAAAUCGUCAAAUGCAUUUCUACUCUUCUUUCUAAACAUUUUGGUUUUAAAUUUGGCAAAGA